GGCUGCAGCAGAUCCCGGUCCCCCUGGCGCGCGCCGCGUCGCGCCGCCGCCGCCGCACGGUCGCAGCGACCUUCCCGCCCGGGGCUCCGUGAGCCCCGUUACCCACAUCGGCCACACACCCCACGAGAAAAAGGGAGGAGGAUGCACAACAAAGCCUAACCCGAGGAGGCCCAAGCGAACUGUGGCGAAUAGUCGCUCGGACACACCAGCUACAUCCCUCCUUCCCCAUCCCCGCGCCCUGCGAGAUGAGGAGAGGGAGGAAACUUGGCCCCGGGCCUCGUCUUUUGGUCCCCCCCCCCAACCUUGGUAGGUAAAGACCAUAAGGAGGAUCUUACAAGCUAAGACAUUUAUUACAGAACUUCAAUAUUUCAGUAAUUUUUCAUAACUGGAGACAAUACAAAUAAUCUCCUAAUGAAGUUAUGAGCAAACUUUAGCCUUAGUAAAAUUGGGGUGGCUUUCUGCUGAGGUGACGGCCGGCUCCUGGAGAAGUUCUGCUGAAGGAGACCUACAGUGACAGCCACAGUGAAGCGCAUGUGCCUUAAUCCCUUUUCACAUACUGGCAAAAGGCCAGACCCAGAGCAUUGCUCCAGCUUCUCUGGUGGCGCAGUGGUUAAGAAUCCGCCUGCCAAUGCAGGGGACACAGGUUCGAGCCCUGGUCUGGGAAGAUCUCACAUGCCGUGGAGCAGCUAAGCCCGUGCACCACAACUACUGAGACUGCGCUCUAGAGCCCGUGAGCCACAACUACUGAGCCCACACGCCUAGAGCCCAUGCUCCGUAACAAGAGAAGCCACGGCAAUGAGAAGCCCACGCACCACAGUGAAGAGUAGCCGUCGCUCACCACAACUAGAGAAGGCCCGCACUCAGCAACGAAGACACAAUGCAGCCAAAAACAAAUAAAUAAAUAAAGCUUAUUAAAAAAAAUACUUAAUUGCUCAAAGAUUCUAACCAUCACCGGAGCCUUCGGUGAGUUGUAACCUUUUUGCUGGUGGGGGUCCUG